rnacentral:rRNA from 1 species
UACGUAGGGUGCAAGCGUUGUUCGGAAUUACUGGGCGUAAAGCGUGCGCAGGCGGCUAUGCAAGACAGAUGUGAAAUCCCCGGGCUCAACCUGGGAACUGCAUUUGUGACUGCAUGGCUAGAGUACGGUAGAGGGGGAUGGAAUUCCGCGUGUAGCAGUGAAAUGCGUAGAUAUGCGGAGGAACACCGAUGGCGAAGGCAAUCCCCUGGACCUGUACUGACGCUCAUGCACGAAAGCGUGGGGAGCAAACAGG